UGUGUGUGUGUGUGCAUUUGUUUAGCAAAGCCUUACAUACAGGUGCAAAUAGUAAAUCCUCUUUUGCAACCUAAAACUCAUGGUUGAAUAUGAGUUUUGGUACAUGUAAAAAGGAAUAUG
rnacentral:snoRNA from 1 species